CAGCAGCCGCGGUAAAUCGGGGGUGCAAGCGUUGUUCGGAAUCACUGGGCGUUAAAGAGCACCAGCCGCGGCAUGUAAGUCAGAUGUGAAAUCUCACAGCUGAACUGUAAAACUGCAUUUGAAACUUCUUAUCUCGAGUAUGGAAGAGGAAGAUGGAAUUAAUGGUGUAGGGGUAAAAUCCGUAGAGAUCAUUAGGAAUACUGAAAGCGAAAGCGAUCUGCUGGAACAUUACUGACGCUAAGAUGUGAAAGCCUGGGGAGCAAACAGGAUUAGAUACCCUGGUAGUCCACGCCCUAAACGAUGAAUUCUUGUCGUCGGAGUACAAGUGACUUCGGUGAUUCAGUUAACAGAUUAAAUAAUCCGCCUGGGGAGUACGGUCGCAAGAUUAAAACUCAAAGGAAUAGACGGGGACCCGCACAAGUGGUGGAGCAUGUGGUUUAAUUCGAAGAUACACGAAAAACCUUACCUAGACUUGAUAUUGUAAUAAUAUUUCAGAGAUUUGAUAGUUUACUUCGGUAAAUUUGAAAACAGGUGCUGCACGGCUGUCGUCAGCUCGUGUCGUGAGAUGUUGGGUUAAGUCCCACAACGAGCGCAACCCUCAUUUUUUUUUGCUAACAGUUCGGCUGAGCACUCUAAAAUUACUGCCUUCGUAAGGAGGAGGAAGGUGAGGUCGACGUCAAGUCAUUAUGGCCCUUAUGGGUAGGGCUACACACGUGCUACAAUGGGGCGUACAGAGAGUCGCGAUAUCGCGAGGUGGAGCUAAUCUCUAAAGUGUCUCUCAGUUCGGAUUGUUGUCUGCAACUCGACUACAUGAAGCUGGAAUCGCUAGUAAUCGUGAAUCAGCAAUGUCACGGUGAAUACGUUCCCGGGUCUUGUACUCACCGCCCGUCACACCAUGGGAGUUGAGUUUGCCCGAACUCGGGAUGCCAACCUUCGGGGAGGUACCCGUCACGGCGGAAUUAGCAAUUGGGGUGAAGUCGUAACAAGGUAACCGU
rnacentral:rRNA from 1 species